AUAUAUAUAUACUGGAUUUGAAAUGAAACCUAUAAGACAUUUUUCUGCAAAGCGUCUUCAUUUCAGGGGCUCAAAAGUAGUUGGACAAAUGAUCUCAAAAUGUACAGGCUUUUAUGGGCUGCAUGGAUGUAGGGCUGGUAGAGGUGUAUAGUGUAUGAAUAUAGGGCUGGUAGAGGUGUAUAGUGUAUGUAUAUAGGGCUGGUAGAGGUGUAUAGUGUAUGAAUAUAGGGCUGGUAGAGGUGUAAAGGGCAUGUAUAUAGGGCUGGUAGAGGUGUAUAGUGUAUGAAUAUAGGGCUGGUAGAGGUGUAUAGUGUAUGUAUAUAGGGCUGGUAGAGGUGUAUAGUGUAUGUAUAUAGGGCUGGUAGAGGUGUAUAGUGUAUGAAUAUAGGGCUGGUAGAGGUGUAUAGUGUAUGUAUAUAGGACUGGUAAAGGUGUAUAGUGUAUGUAUAUAGGGCUGGUAGAGGUGUAUAGGGCAUGUAUAUAGGGCUGGUAGAGGUGUAUAGUGUAUGUAUAUAGGGCUGGUAGAGGUGUAUAGUGUAUGAAUAUAGGGCUGGUAGAGGUGUAUAGUGUAUGUAUAUAGGACUGGUAAAGGUGUAUAGUGUAUGUAUAUAGGGCUGGUAGAGGUGUAUAGGGCAUGUAUAUAGGGCUGGUAGAGGUGUAUAGUGUAUGAAUAUAGGGCUGGUAGAGGUGUAUAGUGUAUGUAUAUAGGGCUGGUAGAGGUGUAUAGUGUAUGUAUAUAGGACUGGUAGAGGUGUAUAGUGUAUGUAUAUAGGACUGGUAGAGGUGUAUAGUGUAUGAACAUAGGGCUGGUAAAGAUGUAUAGGGCAUGUAAAUAGGG